UCUACCGGCCAUGCACCCCAACUUGCCUGAUCUCAGAAGCUAAGCAGGGUUGGGCCUGGGUAGCACUUGGAUGGGAGGAAGGCCAACUGAAAUGUGUUCACAAGAGGGGACAGGGUGACAGGAGAU
rnacentral:rRNA from 1 species